CAUGCUUCUAUAGUGUAAAUGAGCUUCGAUUCAUGCAUUUAAACCUAAGUUUAAUUGAGACAUGAGAGAUAACAAGAUUGCCAUAUAGUGGCACCGAAUUGGAAUAUCAUGUGAAUUAGAGAGCUAAUGUUAUCAAGCGGUAUUGAGCUCAGGACAUGUGUGAACCUAGUGGAUAGGGCCAUUGAGGGAUUUGGAAUACAUGUUGAACAUCAAAUUGCCUAAGUGUCAUCAAGGGGCACUAGGCGUAGCAAAUGUUGAAACUACACAUCGUGACUUAAACUAAAUCUUCGGGAUGCUAGUGACUAUGCCAUGUUAGAGACAUGAGGAUUGGAUACUUGAGACUUGGACUAUGCUUGCUUGCCAUUUGUGCUCAUUCGCACAUGCUUGUGAGCGUCGCUCCCUACAAGCCGGCACUCCGGAGUUAGCCUACGCGACCAAUGUUCGCCGUGCGGUAUCGAGAAGCUUACGGGGUCGGGAGGGAUAGACUUAUUCCUAGAGUGGGAAUGUUGGGGCUACCACCGACACUUAGGCGGCACAAGCUGGAUUACAAUAUGUAGAUCCUAAAACAUGUUUGAUUAAUGACAUUGAAGCGGGAAUGGAUAAUCACUACUAGAUAGGUUUAGUAGUUGAAUUACAUUUAUAUGCUUUUAGCAUAGUGUUGAGACAUGUAGUAUACUUGAUAGUCUUUUAUUGCAUCAAAGCAUACUUGGUUGCCAUGACAGAACUUAUGCAUCAUGUAUUGAUAAAGGUUAGUGACAUUUAACUAUUGCCAUUGGACUUACUAUUAUGAUAUCGUAGAUGUACAUCACCAUGACAUCGUGUAUACUUGAGUUUAAUAAUUUAGCAUUUUUAAUUAUGCUUUUAUAUCACAGUCAUUAUUGCUAUUAUUAUUGUACUUACCCUUUUCUUUUGGGGCCUAG
rnacentral:lncRNA from 1 species